rnacentral:lncRNA from 1 species
AUGACUACAUGAUCUAGCUCUACUUCUUUUCAUGAAUGUCUUAACAGGAGUCGAUAAAUAAGCCAUUGAACUUCCAUUUUUUAGAUAUUUCCUAUAAACAUCAAAGGUUCAGCAGGAAGCCUGCUGAUUUUACUCCACAACUGCAGCAAUUGGAUAGUUACAUACACUUUCCAUUUCAUGAUGGAAUGGAGCAGAACAGGCACCUGAAACCCCCCACCAUAUAUGCUCGUACUAUUUUCCACUUCACAAUCCUCUUUAUCUUGCUCUCUAAUUACAAGUCUGUGUUGGCUGCUAUGGCAGGAACAUUUUCUAUAUUCUGGGUCAUAUGCGCUGCCGCUGUCCUGUUUGUUGCAUUUCUGGUGCCGGAGACCAAGGGACGAACACUCGAAGAAAUUCAAGUAUCAAUUACAAAGUAUUAAUAAAUUUUAUAACAGAACUCCACAUUUGUCCAAAACCAUGCACAUAUAAAUGCCUUAAUACAAUGGUGUAUAUGAUCUUGGAGCCAAAUUAUUACAAAAAUGAGAAAUGAAAAUGAGAAAAUGGCUAAGACCUUAAAAAGUUGAGAGACAAGGAUUGAAAGAUGAAGAAUAAAGUAGCUGGGAGAAGAAGAAGAAAGUCGAUAAGAGUGGGAAAAUGUGCAGAAUAAGUUUGAUAAUUUAUUGAGUAUUUGUUGCGCAUGUAGGGCGCAUAAUGGCUACAGAAACAUCUCAGUUUAUGAUAAUUAUCAUUUUGUUGUGGAAUUAAUUGGAAAUUAUCCAGACAUACACAUAAAUAAUAAGAAGUUAAAGGAUCAGGUCAAGAAAAUGGACGCCAACCUUUGUGAGAGUGGUCACCUGCUUCGAAGUUCUCAAUAACUCAUAAUAUAUUUCACUUUCACUGCUUUAGUGCGACUCGAAUCCUCAUGCAACUCCUAAUAUAUUUGACGUCUUUAGUGUGACCCAGUUUAGUACUCUAGUGCAUGACCUGUGAAUUGGCCUUUAUUCAAGGGUACGUCUAUAAGAGCACUCACGGGCCAUGUUGGCAAGUCAAAGCAUUACCACGAUUUCCUGCCUGUCCCAAAAGGGCAUAAAUAAUUUUUUAGGGCAGUUGCAGUAGUUGUCAUGCGCUUGCUUCGUUCAUUUGCCUUGCUUUCCCUUGAAGAAAUUAAUCAUCAUGGAGAGACCAGAAGAAAGGUUGAAGUUGGAGGAAAGACUAAUUCCAAGUUCUUCACUUGCUGAUGAAAUUGGUGAUGGCAGUGGCAUGCAAGAAAGUGAUUCUUCAGCCACACCUGCUGUUGUUCUCGGCGCUUUGGUGGCCGUACGUGGUUCAUUUGCUUAUGGUUGAUCUGUAUGUACCAUUAUUAUCAUCAUGUUUUUAGUGUUGUUUUCUCUCUCUCUUUUUCAGUUCCUUUUCUUGAUGCCGUGUAUUUAGACAUGUUCAUUAGUUACACUAUAAAUGUGAAUAAUUGUAGUGUCUUAGAAUUGUAACUGGGCUGUUACAUUCACAUUCCAUUUCAUGAUGGAAUGGAGCAAAACAGGUAUCCGAUAACCCCCGAUGCUUAUACAUUUUCCAUUUCGCAAUCCUCUGUCUUCUGUGUUGCUCUCUAGUUACAAGCCUGUGUUGGCAACUCUGGCAGGAACAUUUUCUAUAUCCUGGGUCAUAUGCGCCGCAGGUGUUGCGUUCGUUGCAUUCCUGGCGCCGGAGACCAAGGGACGAACGCUUGAAGAAAUACAAGCUUCAAUUACAAAGCUUUUUGGGACAUAAAUCAACAUCACUCACAGUGCAAGUGUAAACUCGGCUCACAGAUUGUGCUUGAUGCGACGUCCCGGAUUGGACUGUACUGGACUAAAAUGUAUUAAGUUUAAUAUGUUACUGAAUUAUAAUCUCUAUUAAAUUUUUUUAGUAAUAAUAGAUUAAUAUUAUUUGUGUACUUUAUAUUCUUAUUAAUUAAUAAAAUAUUAUCAUCGUCAUCAUCACCACUCCGGGCUAAUGUCAAUCGCUGACAAUUUCUUUGUUGUCAUAUAAACCAAAGAUAAAUUUGUAGGGUCCAGUGAUCAUUUAAAAAAAAAAAAAAAUAGAGGCUUUUUCCUAGCCGCACGAGUUAGUGGAAAAUGAUGGGCCCGGUCAGUUAUUAUUGCUGGGUUCUGGUAGUCUCCAAAGUUAGUUAAUCCAGGCCCAACCAGUGGACCGAGCCGAAAUUACAGUUAGCCUUUCCUUGGGUUUUCAGUCAUUCCAUACCAUACCAUUGAAACUCAAAGAUUUUUAUUUUAUUUUCUUUUUUUUUGAUACAAAAAAGGGCUAAGUUAAAAACUAAGCAAUGACCAUUGGUGGAUAAGCAGUCCCAAAUACAUGAUGCAGCAGCCACCCUUCAGUUCCGGACGGAGGCGUGGGAUUUAUUUUAUUUUCUUUACUUAGCAGAAAAAUGAUUGUUGUUGAAACUUUUUCUCUUCGCGUGUACAGCUUGCAUGGAAAGUGACGCCGCAUUGAUUUUUUUUUUUUUUUUAAAUUUAUUUCAAAUACUGAUACGUUGCAAUCAAAAGCCUAAUGAUUCAAGAUAUACGUAAUACGUCCACUCUGCAUAAGAUAAGAGUGGGACGGGAAGCCAUACAAAAUCGAUACUACCCACAUGAUGAGUGUUUGGCUUUAGGAUGGUGUUUAUUAACAUGUCUGCAUUGUAACUCGCACUAAUUAGUAUUUCUUCUUUUUAUCAUUUUUUUUUUAAAGAUAAGAGAGUAGAUAAAGCUUGAGUUUAUUUUUUUAAAUUACUCGACCGCGUUCUUAGAGACAAUAUAGAUAUAUACCAACUAUUUCGGAUAAUUAAUUCUUGUAAGUUAACAUGGUUCAGCUGGAAGCCAAUAUUUCUGCUCUUCGAUUGUCCAAUAUUGCCCCACUAUUUUUUUAAUUACUUGAGGUUAUUAGUUAGAACACAAUUCAUAUUUUGUGAGACUCAGAUAAUUAUUGAAAAUAAUAUUUUAUAAAGAAGAAAUUUUCCUUCCAUAUACUCAAUUAUACAAUAUAAUUAAGAAAAGAAUUAUCUCCCCAUACUUUUUUGAGGGGUUUAAAUUGUGAGGACAAUAACCUUAAUCAUUGGGCCUAAAGUCAAGUGGCUUAUUGUUCCUAGUAAAAUUAAAAUUAAAAUUAAAGUCUUUUUCUAUUAUCAUAAUAUUGAAAAAAAAAAAAAUUUGUCAGGUGGGCUCUAUGCAGUCGCAUCAUUUCAACUGUUUUUUUAUAAUUCCAAUAAUGCAGUGUUCUUUCUUUCACUUGCUCCUGUGAAAGAAUUAGGACAUGGAGAAUCCAGAAAGCUUGGAGGAGGGACUAAUAGCAAAGUCUUCACUUGCUCAGCCAAAUCCUAUAAAAAUUACAAAUGAAGUUGGUGAGCGCAGUGGCUUGCCGGAGAGUGACAAUUCUUCAGCUACACCCGUUGUUGUUCUUAGCACCUUGGUAGCCAUAUGUGGUUCAUUUGCUCAUGGCUGUUCUGUAAGUAGCAUACCGUUAUCAUGCAUGCUAGUUACUUUUUUUUGUUUCUUGACCUUAAAUGUGAAGAAGAAAUGAGUAGAUUACCAUAAAAUUGAGUUUUUUUUAUUGAUUUUUAAUUGUCUAUCCUACCUACAAUUAGGGGUGGGCAUAAACCCACAACCCAUGGGUUUACCCAAACCCAAACCAAAUUAAAUGGUUUGGGUUGGGUAAAUCAUGAAAAUGGGUUAGAUGUGGGUUUUAUAUAGAAAAUCAUUUCAUUAUGGGUUGGGUAUGGUUUACCCAUGGGUCAUGGACAAAACCCCAACACUCAAACUUUUCAAAUGAAAUAAAUGAAAACAAAAUAAAUGAACACAAAUAAGUGAAAGACCACCAUUAAAUUUUUUAAGGCGUGAUCAAUUGUCAACAGUUAGAAAAUGAAAAUAACAGUAAAAAUAAAUUUAAAUUAAAUAAAUAUUGUUGUAAAUAACAUAAAAUUUUUUUCUUAUUUACAAAAAUAAUUCCUCCCACAUGGAAGGAUCAUCAUAGAAAGAGCAAAAGACUCUACUAGUGAUCAAUAAUAACUCGGCUUGGACUGGGUCCGAUAUGCUAGAUGACGGCUAAUUUUUGAUCAAUAAUUGAAUGUAAUGCCCAUAUUAGGCCCUGUACAAAACUUUGCUUACCAUAUAAUGAAAUUAGAACGUAAAGCAUACACACUAUCUAAUAUUAGAAUGUAAAUAAAAUUAAGGGGGAUUGUCACUUUCCCCCCUACAGUAAUUAACAUAUACCAUUUACCCCCUUUCUGUUUUUAAAUGGCCAAAAAUCCCUCUGACAACAUAAAUUUACAAUAUUACCUUUAUUUUUAACUACUCUUUUAUUUACAUUUAUUAUAAAUUAAAUAAAUUACAUGAAUAGAAAACUAAAUAAAAAAAUUAAGUAUUAAAACAAGAAAUAUAUGUUUUGAUAUGAGCAAAAAAAUUAAUAAUAAAAUUUUUUCUUGUAAUUAUUUAUUUUGUGAACAUUUUCUUAUAAUAAACAUUUUGUAAUAUUUUAAAAUUAAAUGUAAAAAGUAUAGGUAAAAUAUUUUAUUAUUUAUCUUAUAAUAAAUUUUUAUUUUUCAUUCAAGUUUUCUUAUAAUAAUUUUUUUAUCAUUUUACUAAUAAUUUUCUUAUAUAUUUAUUAUAAGAAAAUUUUCACAAAAUAAAUAAGUAUAAAAAGUUUUUAUUAUUAAUUUUUUUGUUCAUAUCAAAACAUAUAUUUCUUAUUUUUAAUGCUUUAUUUUUAUUUAGUUUCUAUUCAUGUGAUUUAUUUAAUUUAUAAUAAAUAUAAAUAAAAGAGUAGUUGAAAAUAAGUUAUUGUAAAAUUUAUAAUUUUUAUCCACUAUAUUUUUUUAUAUGUUAAUAUCAAUUUAAUAAUUAAUAACAAUUAAUAAUUAUUAUAAUUUUGAUAUAAUUAAAUUUUAUUAAAAUAAAAAUUAUUUUAAUAAUAAAAUUCAAACCAAACUCAAACCAAACCCAAAUGGUUUGGUUUGAGUUGUGUUAAAAAUAUUUGGGUUGGUUUGGGUUGGAUUCAAAUUUUUAUGGUUUGAUUUGGGUUGACUUAAAAUCCAACCCAAACCAACCCAUGCCCACCCCUACCUACAAUCAUGUGAUUGGUAUUAGGUAAGCUUAGAUGACAGGUCCAGUACUUUUAUGUUAGAUGGUGUGUAUUUGUCAAAUGUUUUUCACUUUCAGCAAACAGUGGAAUAGUGUAUUAUGGUGGCUUACCAACUUGAGCAAAUUGGAUUGUUUCAAAGUUUCAUUCUUGUUUUGAAAUGCAGCUCAAUUAUCAAUUACCAAUCAACAGUUACUUUAAGCCAACGGAAUAGGAUCUUAUGUCAAUAUGUUUAACAUUAACAUAAAUGUGUUUUUAGUUGGUGACUUUAGAGAAUAGAGAUAAGCAUUAAUCAAAAUUUUCAUCAUCAAAUACAUGAAACAGGUGGACUAUCCUAAUCAUAAAAAAAAUAAUCUAUUAUAAUAUAUACUAAAAAUUCAAAUGCGCAUAAAGAUUUCUUCUGCAGCUGUCAUUCCAAUUUCUUAUUUCAUAGUUGUCGAAUGCUUCUUUUUUUCCAUUGCCCCUCUUUCGCUCAAGAAAAAUAAUGAUGGAGACAUCAGAAAGCUUGGAGGAAGGACUAAUUCCGAAUCCUCCACUUCUUGAGCCAACGCCUAUGAUCACCAAUGAAAUUGGUAAUGGCAGUGGCAUGUCUGAAAGUGAUUUUUCUACUACACCUGCUGUUGUUUUCAGCACCUUGGUGGCCAUAUGCGGCUCAUUUACUUAUGGCUGUGCUGUAAGAUCCAUUGCUGUUUUUUUGCUGUCAGAGCAAGUCAAUACAUUUUUCUUGCAAGUUUAAUCUCUAAAUGCUUGAAGAUAGGAGGCUUUCAGGAGCAGUUUUGAGUGAAAUCACUUUCAUCACAAGCCACUAGUCAAAAUAUUAGUUUUUCAUUGACUGCAAUAGAUUGAUUUGAUUGUUGUUUUCAGGUUGGAUAUUCAUCAGCUGCUGAGUCUGGAAUGAGGGCAGACCUGGGACUCUCAGUGACAGAAGUAAGUUGAGCAAGCCCAAGUUAUCCAUGAACACAGAACGCUAAAAUAAAUAAAUAAAUUCAUAUAAACUUUGGCCAGAAUAUGUCACUCUUGAUACACACACGUACACACAACAUCUAUUAUUGUGUAUGCAGAUUCACUUAAUUGAUCAUCACUAUUAUAUGAUCUUAUACAUUUUGAGUCCUAUAAUUGACCAUGGCUUUCCCUUGUUCUUCUAAUUCUGCAGUACUCAGUUUUUGGUUCAGUAUUGACAUUUGGAGGAAUAAUAGGUUCAUUAGUAAAUGGGAAAAUAGCAGACGUCACUGGUCGAAGAGGUGUAAGUCGGUCGAUCUUCCAUUUUAUGUCUCAAUGAAUAGUAUGAAAUUUCUUUUACCCUUCUCAAUAGUAUUUAAUUAACUGCUAGUGCAACAGGCAAUGUGGCUUUCUGAGUUAUUCUGUAUUGUUGGGUGGCUGGCAAUAGCAUUCUCAAAGGUCGUUUUCCUUUAGCUUCUCUGCAUCAUCACAAUCAUGCUUGAUGUGGCUGCCUGCAUGAAAACUGUACUUAGAAUUUUAUUUGGAAUUAAAUGGUCCUUUUCGGGUUCAAGUUGCAUAACAAGCUCUAUCUUCUAUUCCAAUGGUCUGUCAAUAGGCUAUAAUUUACUUCAGUACUUGUUCAUAGGAUGCUUGGUCACUAUAUCUUGGACGAUUUUCUCUUGGGAUUGGACUUGCAAUUAUUGCUUAUGUGGUAAGUGAUGUGAACAAUUUUAUGGUUGCUUAAUUCACGUGUGAGGCAUCUCACAGCAUUUGCCUCAUUGUUCCAAGACAGGUACCAAUAUAUGUCGCAGAAAUAACACCCAAGAACAUCCGGGGAGCAUUUACAGCUACUAAUCAGGUGUAUAUAUAUCUUAAUUAUAAUGAUUAAUAUUACUUGUUUAACUUAUAUUUAAUGAGCAUUUACUUUGUCAUCAACUCUACAGUUCUUGAAUGCUUCUGGUCUUUCAGUAAUGUAUUUGGUGGGUAUUGUUGUUUCCUGGCGAGCCUUGGCUCUAAUUGGUAGCUUCAGCUUGCCCUUCUUUUGAUUUUAUUUGCUUAAUUGCCAAGCCCUGUAUGAUUUCUGAUGUUUUUUUUUCAUUUAAUUUUCAGCUGCUGUUCCAUGUCUGUUGCAAGUUGUUGGUUUGUUCUUCAUUCCAGAGUCACCAAGAUGGCUGGUGAGUCCAAAUCAAAAGUUCAUAAUCUGUUUUCCUGGUGGUUUUUAAUGUUGCACAAAGCAGAAACUCGAGUCCUCAGCUUUUUGUUUAACCUCUUGUUACUAUGCUUAGCUUUUUUGUUUAAGCUCUUGUUACUAUGAUUGUGAAACUAUGAGCAUAUUAAAGUUAGUAUGUAUAUCUAUUUUCAGGCGAAGAUUGGUAAAGAAAAAGAGCUAGAAGCUACUCUGCAGUGCCUUAGGGGAAAGACUGCAGAUAUUUCUAUGGAAUCUACUGACAUCAGAGUAAAAUUCCAGCUCUAAUAUUUGACUACUCAAUAAGUAGAAAACACAUGAAAUAUCUAUAAAUAUCUGGCACAGAACAACCAAUGAGCAUCCCAUAUUGCAGGAUUACACGCAGACAUUUGAGAAGGACUCGAAAGCUGGGAUUUUUGAUCUGUUUCAGCAGAAAUAUGCUUAUUCACUCUCAGUAAGGCUACUUGUACUUUUUUUUUUAUAUUUGUAAGCCCAUUCUAUAUCGUCUGUCCUAUGAUUUUUACAUUAGAUUAUUUAAUUGGUUUAGGUUGGAGUUGGAUUAAUGGUAUUGCAACCAUUAGCUGGAUCAGCAGCAAUUGCAUAUUAUGCCAGCUACAUAUUUGCAGCAGCUGGUAAAUUAACAACAUUUUGUACUAUUUCAUAGAACUAAUGAAUAUUGAAGGAAAUGACAGUGUGGAUUUUUGUUUGUAAAGAUCUUUUGACAAACAUUGGGAGUAUAUCAAUGGCUAUCAUUCAGGUAAUUGGCCAUAAAUCAAACGUAGGAUUUUUCCAUUUUAUAUACUCAAGAACAUACAAUUUCUUUUACAGCUUCCGGCUAUUGGAGUGUCCAUCCUGCUGACAGAUAGAUUUGGAAGAAGACCGCUUCUUUUGGUACACAUGUCAAAGAAUUAAAUUCAUCCGAAAAUUAAUUAUUCAGUAGGAUGGCCAAGUAUGUGUGUGUUUGUGUGUGUAUAUAUAUGUUCAUAUAUUUGCAGGCUUCUACUAUCGGGAUGGGCUUAGGUCUCACUAUUAUAGCUUUGGCAUUCGGCUUGCAGGUUCUUCUCUUACAAAAGUUUAGAACUUCUUCACUAGUUCUCACUUCUGUUUGAAAUAUUUUGAUCAUUGCUUAAAAUAUUUAUGUGCAGGACACCCAUCUUUGGAAUGAGGCUACUCCAGUCCUUGUGUACAUUGGCAUAAUGGUAAUCGUCUCUAUGUAUUGUGAGCUUACGGUAGAGGAUUCUCUACAAAGAUUUUUUCUAUAUAUAUGUAUAUAUAUAUAUAUUUUGUAUAGUCUAUCUAAUUGGUGCAAAAUAUGACUGAAUCUAUGAUCAGGGGUUCAGCAUAGCUUAUUCAUUAGGCAUGGCAGGAUUACCAAGUGUCAUAAUGUCAGAGGUAAAUGACUACGUGAUCUAGCUCUACAUCUUUUCGUGAAUGUUUCAACAGGAGUCGAUAAAUAUGCCAUUGAACUUCCAUUUUUCAGAUAUUUCCUAUAAACAUCAAAGGUUCAGCAGGAAGCCUGGUGAUUUUACUCCACAACUGCAGCAAUUGGAUAGUUACAUACACUUUCCACUUCAUGAUGGAAUGGAGCAGAACAGGUAUCUGAAACCCCAACAUCACCUAUAUACUCAUACUAUUUCCCACUUCACAAUCCUCUUUAUCUUGCUCUCUAAUUACAAGUCUGUGUUGGCUGCUGUUGCAGGAACAUUUUCUAUAUUCUGGGUCAUUUGCGCCGCAGCCGUUGCAUUCGCUGCAUUUCUGGUGCCAGAGACCAAGGGACGAACACUCGAAGAAAUUCAAAUAUCAAUUACAAAGUUAUAAUAAAUUUUAUUACGGGACUCCACAUUUGUCCAAACCAUGCAUAUAUGGUUUAUAUGAUCUUGGGAGCCAAGUUUUAAUAAAACUUUAGCAUAACUGUAUAUGAUCAUGGGAACCAAAUUUAAAAAAUGUUUGAUUGCAGAUGAUGAUGGUUAUUUAUUGUUAAUAAAACAUAUAAA